rnacentral:rRNA from 1 species
AAUAGAUACCCGGGUAGUCCACGCCGUAAACGAUGAGUGCUAAGUGUUAGAGGGUUUCCGCCCUUUAGUGCUGCAGCUAACGCAUUAAGCACUCCGCCUAGGGAGUACGGCCGCAAGGCUGAAACUCAAAGGAAUUGACGGGGGCCCGCACAAGCGGUGGAGCAUGUGGUUUAAUUCGAAGCAACGCGAAGAACCUUACCAGGUCUUGACAUCCUCUGACAACCCUAGAGAUAGGGCUUUCCCCUUCGGGGGACAGAGUGACAGGUGGUGCAUGGUUGUCGUCAGCUCGUGUCGUGAGAUGUUGGGUUAAGUCCCGCAACGAGCGCAACCCUUGAUCUUAGUUGCCAGCAUUCAGUUGGGCACUCUAAGGUGACUGCCGGUGACAAACCGGAGGAAGGUGGGGAUGACGUCAAAUCAUCAUGCCCCUUAUGACCUGGGCUACACACGUGCUACAAUGGAUGGUACAAAGGGCUGCAAACCUGCGAAGGUAAGCGAAUCCCAUAAAGCCAUUCUCAGUUCGGAUUGCAGG